UUUCCGUAGGUGAACCUGCGGAAGGAUCAUUAUUGUAUAACCGAGGUGCGAGGGCUGUCGCUGACCCGAAAGGUCGUGCACGCCCGAGUGCCCUCACACACAUCCAUCUCACCCCUAUGUGCACCACCGCGUGGGUCCCCCUUUGGCUUGUUCGGAGGGGGGCUUACGUUUUCACACAAACUUUGUAUGCAGUGUAUAAUGUAUUUUUUGUUUUUGCGAUCACGCAAUCAAUACAACUUUCAACAACGGAUCUCUUGGCUCUC
rnacentral:misc_RNA from 1 species